UGGGGAAUAUUGGACAAUGGGCGCAAGCCUGAUCCAGCCAUACCGCGUGGGUGAAGAAGGCCUUCGGGUUGUAAAGCCCUUUUGUUGGGAAAGAAAAGCAGUCGGCUAAUACCCGGUUGUUUUGACGGUACCCAAAGAAUAAGCACCGGCUAACUUCGUGCCAGCAGCCGCGGUAAUACGAAGGGUGCAAGCGUUACUCGGAAUUACUGGGCGUAAAGCGUGCGUAGGUGGUUGUUUAAGUCUGUUGUGAAAGCCCUGGGCUCAACCUGGGAAUUGCAGUGGAUACUGGGCGACUAGAGUGUGGUAGAGGGUAGUGGAAUUCCCGGUGUAGCAGUGAAAUGCGUAGAGAUCGGGAGGAACAUCCAUGGCGAAGGCAGCUACCUGGACCAACACUGACACUGAGGCACGAAAGCGUGGGGAGCAAACAGGAUUAGAUACCCUGGUAGUCCACGCCCUAAACGAUGCGAACUGGAUGUUGGGUGCAAUUUGGCACGCAGUAUCGAAGCUAACGCGUUAAGUCGC
rnacentral:rRNA from 1 species